GUCUUGUAGAGGGGGGUAGAAUUCCAGGUGUAGCGGUGAAAUGCGUAGAGAUCUGGAGGAAUACCGGUGGCGAAGGCGGCCCCCUGGACAAAGACUGACGCUCAGGUGCGAAAGCGUGGGGAGCAAACAGGAUUAGAUACCCUGGUAGUCCACGCCGUAAACGAUGUCGAUUUGGAGGUUGUGCCCUUGAGGCGUGGCUUCCGGAGCUAACGCGUUAAAUCGACCGCCUGGGGAGUACGGCCGCAAGGUUAAAACUCAAAUGAAUUGACGGGGGCCCGCACAAGCGGUGGAGCAUGUGGUUUAAUUCGAUGCAACGCGAAGAACCUUACCUGGUCUUGACAUCCACAGAACUUUCCAGAGAUGGAUUGGUGCCUUCGGGAACUGUGAGACAGGUGCUGCAUGGCUGUCGUCAGCUCGUGUUGUGAAAUGUUGGGUUAAGUCCCGCAACGAGCGCAACCCUUAUCCUUUGUUGCCAGCGGUCCGGCCGGGAACUCAAAGGAGACUGCCAGUGAUAAACUGGAGGAAGGUGGGGAUGACGUCAAGUCAUCAUGGCCCUUACGACCAGGGCUACACACGUGCUACAAUGGCAUAUACAAAGAGAAGCGACCUCGCGAGAGCAAGCGGACCUCAUAAAGUAUGUCGUAGUCCGGAUUGGAGUCUGCAACUCGACUCCAUGAAGUCGGAAUCGCUAGUAAUCGUAGAUCAGAAUGCUACGGUGAAUACGUUCCCGGGCCUUGUACACACCGCCCGUCACACCAUGGGAGUGGGUUGCAAAAGAAGUAGGUAGCUUAACCUUCGGGAGGGCGCUUACCACUUUGUGAUUCAUGACUGGGGUGAAGUCGUAACAAGGUAACCGUAGGGGAACCUGCGGUUGGAUCACCUCCUUACCUUAAAGAA
rnacentral:rRNA from 1 species